rnacentral:rRNA from 1 species
GGGAGGCGAGCAGUGGGGAAUAUUGCACAAUGGGGGAAACCCUGAUGCAGCGACGCCGCGUGAAGGAAGAAGUAUCUCGGUAUGUAAACUUCUAUCAGCAGGGAAGACAAUGACGGUACCUGACUAAGAAGCCCCGGCUAACUACGUGCC